rnacentral:rRNA from 1 species
GACGAACGCUGGCGGCGUGCUUAACACAUGCAAGUCGAACGGAAAGGCCCUGCUUUUGUGGGGUGCUCGAGGGGCGAACGGGUGAGUAACACGUGAGUAACCUGCCCUUGACUUUGGGAUAACUUCAGGAAACUGGGGCUAACACCGGAUAGGAGCUCCUGCUGCAUGGUGGGGGUUGGAAAGUUUCGGCGGUUGGGGAUGGACUCGCGGCUUAUCAGCUUGUGGGUGGGGUAGUGGCUUACCAAGGCUUUGACGGGUAGCCGGCCUGAGAGGGUGACCGGCCACAUUGGGACUGAGAUACGGCCCAGACUCCUACGGGAGGCAGCGGUGGGGAAUAUUGCACAAUGGGCGGGAGCCUGAUGCAGCAACGCCGCGUGCGGGAUGACGGCCUUCGUGUUGUAAACCGCUUUCGCCUGUGACGAAGCGUGAGUGACGGUAAUGGGUAAAGAAGCACCGGCUAACUACGUG